CAAAGGUUUGGUCCUGGCCUUGUGGUCAGUUAUUACUUACUAUACACAUGCAAGUAUCCGCCCCCCUGUGAAAACGCCCUUCAACCCCCAUUAGGGACAAGGAGCCGGUAUCAGGCGCAAAAAUCCGCCCAAGACACCUAGCUACGCCACACCCACAAGGGAAUUCAGCAGUGAUUAACAUUGAGCAUUAGCGCAAGCUUGACUCAGUUAAAGUAAACAGAGCCGGCUAAUCUGGUGCCAGCCGCCGCGGUUACACCACGUGGCUCAAAUUGACCCCCUCCGGCGUAAAGCGUGAUUAAAGUUUCCACUUACUAGAGUUAAACUAAAACUAAGCUGUGACACGCCUGUUAUCAAGAAACCCAAAAACGAAAGUUACUCUAACAUAACCAACUUGAACUCACGACAGCUGGG
rnacentral:rRNA from 2 species